AUGGACUCUCUUCGUUUUUUUUUCCAGAGCAGAAUCCCUCGUCCGUGUUUGUGGUCUGUUAAGACCUGGUUUUCCUCACAACCUUCAAUAAUCUUUCUGUCUGCUGAGUGCUGUGAGAGAGAGAGACAGAAAGAAGAUGUCAGUAAGAGGCUCAUCAAACGGACGGUGAGACGUGAGGACGCCCGUGUCCUUGACUCGUGAUCAUCUCACACCUGAUCUGAUCUGAUUGGAGCCAUAUGGCCGUCCACAUUAAGCAGAGCCGUCGGUGACACAGAAAUCACGUACAGCGCUGACAGAUUCAGGUACAGCUGAACGACCUUCAGAUCAGCGCUUCUCAACCAGCUCUCAGAUCACAGACGACGAUAUCAUGAAUAUUUAAAUAAAUUUAACUAAACAUGACUAUUUAAAUAAACUUAACUUUUUUAAAAAAAAAAAGUUUUAUUAAUUUUUAGUGUUUUUAUUUUAUUUGAUUUAAUGUUUUUUUUUUUUUUAGCAUUUUAUUUUUUAUAAAUUAAAGUAGUUUGUCAUUUUAUAAAUCUAAAUAGUAAUUUUUUUAUAUUUUUAAUUUUAUGUACAUUUAUAUUUUGAAUAUUUUUAUAUUUUAUAUUAGUUGAUUUUAUUAAUGUU
rnacentral:lncRNA from 12 species